rnacentral:misc_RNA from 1 species
AAAGUCGUAACAAGGUAACCGUAGGUGAACCUGCGGUUGGAUCAUUAAAAAAAAUACUCUGACACAAAGAACGAACAUCCCGGACAAAAGCGAGCUUGAAAAAGCGCCUUUCCGGGAUGCUUUGGUUGUCAACAUCUUGUGAACCUGUAAACGUCUCUGGCGGGGGAGGAAUCGGCUUUGCUGUUUUCUCCGUCAGCUCCCUGGGCGAUGAACCUUGGGAGCCGUGGACAUCCCGCCAACCGCUUCCUUUGGGAGCAGGUGCCUUCGGGUCCUGUUCUUCUUUGGAAGCAAACAUUUGCUCACCUUGUUUUUUGACUUUGGGUAUCGACUCUGAAUGGUUUGUUCAGGAAGCAAUUUUUGAACAUACAAAACACAAAAUGAUUUAAAACAACUUUUGGCAACGGAUCUCUUGGCUCUC